rnacentral:lncRNA from 1 species
UGAUAGUUCAGAUUUGAAAUCAGCCACUCUUUACAAAUUGAAUUAGAAUUGGUGCUUACCCUCCUUAGGACCCUCUAUGAAACCCAAGUGGAAUAAAAGCCUAAAAUAGAAGAUGGCAACGGAAAGGACAGCGUGUAGAAGAAGAAUAUCCAAAUAUCAAGAAACUGCUCGAUCAAGAAAUUCCAAAACUUUGGAUAAUACCAUUUUUUUUUCCAAAAAAGUUCUUAUGCAAACUGAUAGGAAUGAAAGAUUCCAAAGAUAAUUAAAUAAUCCUUUCCAUUGCUUAACUCCUCAAACUCCAAAUCUUCUAAAUGAAUAAACAAAUUUUUUUUUUUUUUGCAUGAAUACCUUUCUAAAUAUCGAAUUUUGCAUAUAUACCCUUCCAAAAUUAAUAUUUAUAAUAUAUACCCUCGUAAAACUUUAUUAUUGUACAAAUAUCCGUGUUGAGAAAAAUCAUAUUUAUAUUAAUUAAAAAUAAAAUAAAAUUUUAAAAUUAUAUUAUUGUUUUUAGUUUCUUUUCGUGCUAUCAGAAUCACGAUCUAUUUCCAUAUCUACCCAUUAAAAAUAUUUUAGUCAUUUUAAUUUGAAACCGUUAAUUUUUUAAUAUCGUUAGUAGCAUAGGUACAUAUGCAAAAAAUAAAAAUAAAAAAAAUAAAAUAGUAAAAUAAGCGUUUUACGAUGGUGUAUAUAUAUAUAUAUGAAAUUUUAAAAAAAUAUUCAUACAAAAUCUGAUAUUUAGGAAAGUAUUUAUGUAAAAAAUCUAAACAAAAUACCUUAAUCCUUGCGCCUAAGGAAUGCAUUUUGUUUGCGGUGCACGAUGAGAAACAGAGGAAAAGAGAGGAACCAGAGAAGCGCCGUCGAGGUGGUUUCAACUGAUCCUCUUUCUUCGACAUUUUAGGUCUCUAGUCGACUAACAGCAUACAGCCAC